UUCGAUAUCGCAGUUCAGCGGG
rnacentral:miRNA from 1 species